CAGGAGAUGCGCACGAGCCUUUUGCGCACGCUCGCCUCCAGACUGCGCCGCAAAGCAUGCUGGUCUUUCCUUUCCCUCCGAGGCCAUAUUGGAAUAAGCUCACAGUCGGCCGGCUUCGGACUAGAAACCGCAAAAAUGGUGGCCGCCAAGAAGACG